rnacentral:rRNA from 1 species
GAUGAACGCUGGCGGCGUGCCUAAUACAUGCAAGUCGAGCGAACGGACGAGAAUCUUGCUUCUCUGAUGUUAGCGGCGGACGGGUGAGUAACACGUGUAUAACCUACCUAUAAUACUGGGAUAACUUCGGGAAACCGUAGCUAAUACCGGAUAAUAUUUUGAACCGCAUUGUUCAAAAGUGAAAGACGGUCUUUCUGUCACUUAUAGAUGGAUCCGCGCUGCAUUAGCUAGUUGGUAAGGUAACGGCUUACCAAGGCAACGAUGCAUAGCCGACCUGAGAGGGUGAUCGGCCACACUGGAACUGAGACACGGACCAGACUCCUACGGGAGGCAGCAGUAGGGAAUCUUCCGCAAUGGGCGAAAGCAUGACGGAGCAACGCCGCGUGAGUGAUGAAGGUCUUCGGAUCGUAAAACUCUGUUAUUAGGGAAGAACAUAUGUGUAAGUAACUGUGCACAUAUUGACGGUAACUAAUCAGAAAGCAACGGCUAACUACGUG